rnacentral:sRNA from 12 species
GCUUUCAACAUCCCCGUCCAGCGCCCAUCAGGAUUUCCGAGGCGGCUGGGCUGAAGGC